rnacentral:rRNA from 1 species
UACGGGGGGAGCAAGCGUUGUUCGGAUUUACUGGGCGUAAAGCGCACGUAGGCGGCUUUGUAAGUUAGAGGUGAAAGCCCGGGGCUCAACCCCGGAAUUGCCUUUAAGACUGCAUCGCUUGAACGUCGGAGAGGUGAGUGGAAUUCCGAGUGUAGAGGUGAAAUUCGUAGAUAUUCGGAAGAACACCAGUGGCGAAGGCGGCUCACUGGACGACUGUUGACGCUGAGGUGCGAAAGCGUGGGGAGCAAACAGG